rnacentral:rRNA from 1 species
UACGUAGGGGGCAAGCGUUGUCCGGAUUUAUUGGGCGUAAAGAGCGUGUAGGCGGCUAGAUAGGUCCGUUGUGAAAACUCGAGGCUCAACCUCGAGACGUCGAUGGAAACCAUCUGGCUAGAGUCCGGAAGAGGAGAGUGGAAUCCUGGUGGAGCGGUGAAAUGCGUAGAUAUCAGGAAGAACACCUAUGGCGAAGGCAGCUCUCUGGGACGGUACUGACGCUGAGACG